rnacentral:misc_RNA from 1 species
GAUGAAGAACGCAGCGAAAUGCGAUACGUAAUGUGAAUUGCAGAAUUCAGUGAAUCAUCGAAUCUUUGAACGCACAUUGCGCCCCCUGGCAUUCCGGGGGGCAUGCCUGUUCGAGCGUCAUUACAACCCUCAAGCUCUGCUUGGUAUUGGGCUCUGCUGGGACCGGCAGGCCUUAAAAUCAGUGGCGGCGCCACUCGGCUUCAAGCGUAGUAAUUCUUCUCGCUUCGGAGACCCGGGUGCGUGCUAGCCAGCAACCCCCAACUUUCUUAGGUUGACCUCGGAUCAGGUAGGGAUACCCGCUGAACUUAAGCAUAUCAAUAAGCGGAGGA